AUGGAUGCCAUCAUGCUGCAGGAAAAACUGGUGGAACGGCUGCUAUGCCCACGAGUGAGAACGGCCAGACAGAAGGAGAAACAGUAUGUGGGUUUUGCAACUUUGCCCAAUCAAGUCCACAGGAAGUCUGUGAAGAAAGGCUUCGACUUCACACUGAUGGUGGCAGGAGAGUCUGGUAUGGGUAAAUCCACCCUGGUCAACAGCCUGUUCCUCACAGACCUCUACAAAGACAGGAAGUUACUAAACGCUGAGGAGCGAAUCAACCAAACAGUUGAGAUCAUCAAGCACACGGUCGACAUCGAGGAGAAAGGAGUCAAGCUCAAGCUGACCAUCGUAGACACGCCAGGGUUUGGAGACGCCGUCAACAACAACGAGUGCUGGAAGCCAAUCACAGACUACAUUGAUCAGCAGUUUGAGCAGUACUUCAGGGAUGAGAGUGGACUGAACAGAAAGAACAUCCAGGACAACAGAGUCCACUGCUGCCUCUACUUUAUCCCUCCAUUUGGGCACGGGCUGCGUCCGGUCGAUGUUGAGUUCAUGAAGGCGCUGCAUGAAAAAGUCAACAUCAUUCCACUCAUUGCAAAAGCUGACUGCCUCACACCCAACGAGAUAAAGAAGCUCAAAGACAGAAUACGAGAGGAAAUAGACAAGUUUGGGAUCAAAGUGUACCAGUUCCCUGAAUGUGACUCAGACGAGGAUGAAGAGUUUAAACAACUUGACAAAGAGCUGAAGGAGUGCACCCCGUUCGCUGUGAUCGGCAGCAACACAGUGGUGGAGGCUCGGGGGCAGAGGGUCAGAGGAAGACUGUACCCCUGGGGCAUCGUAGAAGUGGAGAACCAGUCGCACUGUGACUUUGUGAAACUGAGGAACAUGCUGAUCCGUUCGCACAUGCACGACCUGAAAGACGUGACCUGUGACGUCCACUAUGAAAACUACAGAGCACAGUGCAUACAGGAGAUGACCAGUAAACUGGCUCAGGACAACCGCAUGGAGAGUCCCAUACCCAUCCUGCCUCUGUCCACUCCAGAUGUGGAAACUGAGAAACUCAUCAAAAUGAAAGACGAGGAGCUGAAGAGGAUGCAGGAGAUGCUGAACAAGAUGCAGCAGCAGAUGCACGAGAAAGACCAGUGACAUCUCCCAGAGCAGAGCUGUGCUGUAGCGCCACCUGCUGUUUGUCCCCCCCCCUGAACAACGGGACAUCAAGUGUCAGUGACCACUCUGGUUGUACAUUUAUCUUCAGUUUGGUGCUUUGUAUAGUUUGUCUGCCCGGAGACUCGUUUCAUCAGAUUCUCAUCUGUUUUCUUGCAUCUGUUUGAGCCCCCCCCCCCCCACCAGCCCUCCACCUUCUGUGGUUAAACAGUCUUAACAUAUAUGAUAUUAAUGUGUAAUUUAAAUUACUAGUCAGUGUAUCUAAUUUAUAAAUGCAAUGCUAGACCUUUUUGAAUAUUCUGUCAGGGUAUGAACAUGUGAUAUAAGAUGUUUUGUAAAGAAAUUUAGGUUGUUGGUCUUGAACCUGGAUAUUGUUUUUUAUUAUGUGUUUGUGUGAGCGAGUGUGUGUAUUUCAUGAAAUAUCCUUAUAUCACCAGGUUUCCAUCCGUAAAUCUCCCGUCCGUUUGACAGUGGUACCACAGUGACUUUACUUUUUAUUCAGAUGCUUUUGUUUAUCUCCUCUCUGAUCCUCAUUAAUAUCUUCACGUAACAUUUUUUUAUUUUACAUAUGGCAAGUCAAAAAAAAUCCUCCACUAGCAUUUUGUGCUGGUGGAGCUGAAAAUGCACUUAUUGCCAGUGGCUAACUGUGAAUGGAGAGCCUUUGACGUAAUGAGAGGGUUGGUACAUGUGCGAGCAUGCUGCCAUUACUCGUAUCCGCUGAACGCUGUGGACCUAUUUUUACUGCUUUAUAGCCAAUGCCCUGUGCUUGUAUUAAAAUGCAUCAUGACAGUUUGCUACUGUGCUACGAUGAGAUGUUGAAAAUAACGACGAGCAAAUGCUGUGUUUAUGCUUCUGUUUUAAAAUUUCUGCCCUCGUCAGUGAAGGUGUGUGUCCUAUGAUUGCUUGAGUGUGUGUGUGUGUGUGUGUGUGUGUGUGUGUGUGUGUGUGUGUGUGUGUGU